rnacentral:snoRNA from 1 species
AAUCCACGCAUCAAACAUUUCCAAAUUAAAUCUUUAAAUCAUUCCCAAGCUUCAUAUAAUGUUUCAUCCUCUAAUAGUCGAAAAGAGAUGAUGUCAUUUCUAAGCUU